GAAGGGCACCACCAGGAGUGGGCUGCGGCUUAAUUUGACUCAACACGGGGAAACUCACCCGGCCCGGACACCGUAAGGAUUGACAGAUUGAAAGCUCUUUCUUGAAACGGUGGGUGGUGGUGCAUGGCCGUUCUUAGUUGGUGGAGCGAUUUGUCUGGUUAAUUCCGAUAACGAACGAGACUCUAGCCUGCUAAAUAGUUCGUCGGUAMCGUAUAGCCGGCGUAACUUCUUAGAGGGACAAGUGGCGUUCAGCCACGCGAGAUUGAGCAAUAACAGGUCUGUGAUGCCCUUAGAUGUUCGGGGCCGCACGCGCGCUACACUGAAGGACUCAGCUGGUCUCUCCUGGCCUGAAAAGGUCGGGCAACCCGUUGAACCUCCUUCGUGCUAGGGAUUGGGGGUUGCAAUUCUUCCCCAUGAACGAGGAAUUCCCAGUAGGCGCGAGUCAUCAGCUCGCGUCGAUUACGUCCCUGCCCUUUGUACACACCGCCCGUCGCUACUACCGAUCGGAUGGUUUAGUGA
rnacentral:rRNA from 1 species